CGUGAAACCAAUUCACCAUCAGUGAACCAAUUCACCAUCUGCACAAUGUAGUUACCAAAUCCACGAUCCGUGUCGUAUCGUGGUAUUGGACCAUACUCCGGAUUUGAACCACCGACCUCUUUAUACUCUUUAUUUAUUCCUUUCCCUAACGUAAUGUCAUAAUAUUUUGACCAAACCUUAUAUAUUCGGAGAUUGCGUAGUCGGCAGGAUUUGAACCUGCGCGGGAAUAUCCCAACAGAUUUCGAGUCUGUCGCCUUAACCACUCGGCCACGACUACAAACUGUCAACUGCCAUUGAUCUGGACGUUUUGGAAAAAAGAACUAUUUUUAUUCAUCAUUCAGACCUGGGUGGAAAAAUAUGAACAGAUUUCCUCUGUCGCACUAAACUCUACGCAGGACUACCAAGUGAUUAUAUCUUUUAUCAUAUUUGGGAAUCAAAAGGAAUCGGCGGACUUGAUCGGUCCACCUCUCGAUCUGCAGUCGAAUGCUCUUCCA